AGCAGCCGUGAGUCUUCACUAACCAGUGGCACAUAACCACUUCAGUAACCGCUCUCCAUUGCUCAUGACAAUGGGCAAUGCCUUCCUCUUUCUCUUGGAUUGGUGAAGAACUAAGAACACUCCUUGUGCACCUGAAACACCACUCAACCUCCAGAGAAGAUUAGACAUAGGUGCAUUGGGUCAGUCCUUGAUUCCACAUCAAGCUUGAACACCAAUGUCUCACUAAAGCAAUGCAAGAUCAAACAAGACAUCCAAGUUUCAAAUCAUUGCAAGCUCAGCUCUCUAAGUUCUAGUAUGAUCCUACAGAUUCAUUACAAGAUACUUAGGCAAUUUUUGACAGCUCCUUUACUCAGCAUUUAGACAUGAAUCUAAUGCUUCAAUGUAAGACAGCCAUUUGACAGUAUGCACUAACCUUAAUCAGUUUUAAUUCAUGAAUGCAACAAUACAAUUCAUCACACAUUCAUUUAUAACUUAGGCUAAGCAUUACUAUCAUCACUUAACAUCAGACAAUGCAUUACUUUCAAUCUGUUUUCAGUUCAUGAGCUUCAAACUAUAUCAUUUCACAUUUAGCAAACUCAUUACUUAACAGGAGCAAGCAUUUUACUCUUUAAACACUAAACAAGCCUUUAAAGCAUCCUGGGACAGAUUCAACUAGUUAUAUUUAGCAAUCACAUUAUCCUCAGGUUUUUCAAUCUAUACACAUCACAAUACACAACUCAUCUUAUCAUCUGCUCAUCAUCAAGAAGGUUUUAAGAAUCGUUUACCAAAAGGAACCAGAUUGGUUCCUUAACCUUUCAUGAAACCGGCCAUGCUUUGUUGGACUUGAGAGUGGAUCGUCACCCACCUCCUUCACCUUCAGUUCAUGGCCUCCAUCUUGUACCAUCAGCUUCAAAGACCCCUCCUUUCUUCAUCUCCACUAGGCGCCAAGCUCUUGACACCAUCUUCUUUGGAACCGGAUGUGUUCUUCUCUUGGACAAGGCGCCUUGGUACAAGGAUAGCUAGGCCUUGUCCAUACACCUCUGCUUCCAAGGAGAAUCACCAUCAGGACAGGAAGAGAACAGGAUGAGGAACCAUGAGAACUCGCCAAGCUUCAGUCUUCUUCUUCAUAAGGAGAUGAAUCGGAUGGAGAGAGCUUCAAUGGUUUGGAUGUGAGCUGAGGAGAGAGCAGUGUGUUUGCGGAAGCUUCAGCUCAGGUUCUGAUGAACCUGGCUCUGAUACCAUAUGAGGUUUUCAGAGCUCAGGCUGUGUGUGUGAGAACAAGCCACUAAGGGCGAAAUGAGAGCUUGAACUGAAGAGAGAAAGGUCUGAUGAAGAACAGUAUGAACUUGGACAGAAACAAGAGAUUUAGAGAGAUUAAGAGAUUUAAGUAUAAGAAAGGGGUAGUUUGAGGGAUUCUUAUCCAAGAACACACUUUGUAUUAUGAAGGAGGAGGGGAAAUCCCCCUCUCUCUCUUAAGAGAGUUACAAACGCCCAUGAGGUCUUUAUAUAGGUUUUACACUCUUGCAAACUCAUAAACCUAUAUCUAAUGGAUAGAAAUAACUUAAGAGGAAUGGAUGGUGAGGAUGAGUUGGUCUUGUUGUGAUCUGAGUGAUGUGUGCUGAUUGGAUGAGCUAAGCUGGCUCACUUUAAUUCAAACAAGGCUGUGCUGUGAUUGGCUCUCCUUAGGCUCCUUUGUAUCUGUCUACAGAUCAGUCUAGGUGCAUGGUCGUGGCUGCUCUUCCUUUACAGCAACAGCCAGCCUGUCCAUGCCCCAAAGUAACCAAUCAGCUCCACACAGCAUCUUCUUGAUUCCCUUUGACUAGAUUCAAACCUUGGUGCCUCACAUCCUGAAUAGUGAUCCAAAUAGUGAAUAGUCAACCUGAAUAGUGACUAGUGAUUCACUAUUCACUUUUACACCAACUUGCCCAACCUUCUCCAAUCUUACUGUGGUAACUCUCCAAAGUUACUGUGGUAACUUUGGAGUUACUGUCUGACCCAAAUCUUCUCUAAAUGGUGUCUAAGUCCCUCCUGGACUUAACUCUAUCUUUGCACACUCAUCAGACCACUUCUGAAGCCUUAAGACUCUCCCAAAGCCUUACAUACAAUCUCUAAAGAUCUUGCCAUGUCUUUGCACAAGCACCAACUCAACUCAUCACUUUUGCUUCUCCACUUCUUCUCUUCAAGUUAACACUCCCCCUCAAGCUUGACUCUAGCUGAUCCUAAGUCAAGCUUGGAACCUUGAAGAACUUCCUCAUUAAAAACCUCACCAAGGAAAACCCUUUGGGACAAAACCUUGAUGAGGGAAAAAGAGUAAAGUCUCCAAGGCCUAGGGAUUGGCCAGUGAGUCUUUGUGCCUUACCAACAAUGUAAGGGACACAAAGACUCGGAUCAUGGCCCCUUCUUGUGAUGCAAGGUAGAUCACAUCUUCUCUUGCUCAUCACUCUUCAUCUUGUAAUAGCUGAGCCUUGGCUGCUUCUUCUCUUCGAGUUUCCACCUUGUUCUAAAGCUUCAUGGUCGGAUGCCUCAGUCUGUAGUACCAAGGCUGCUCUGCUUUGGCCGCCUUGGAGAUUGCUUCACCAUCCUCCAUCUUGCUUCACAAACCGGUCUGCUCCUCUUCUAGAAUAACCGCCAAGUGCUCUCAUCAAGAAGCCUUCUCAACACUCCCCCUCAAGCUUGACCAUGUGGAACAAGUCAAGCUUGGAAGGAGAGCUUCUUGAUUCUCUACAUUUGCUCACUGCCGUCCACCUUCUUGAACCGGCACCUUUGUGAUCAUUUGAAGUCUUCUCAACACUCCCCCUCAAGCUUGACCAUGUGGAACAAGUCAAGCUUGGGAGAGCAGCUUCAUGAUCACACCAUCAGACCCUUGCAGCACCUUCUGAACUCGCCAUCUCCAUGGAAUGCUUGUGGAACCUUCAGCUCCCUCUUCAGACUGCUCACACUGGAAGCCGCCUUGAUAGAGUAGCUCCAUCAUCUUCACACAGCCGAGAGUGCUCUGAACACUCCCUUGUUCUUCCCACAGCCGGAUGACUCCUUUUCCAUCAGUUGCUUGCCAUGGUCUUCCUUCUUUGCUCACUUAACUCCCCUCAUCAAGCUUGGAUAGAAUGAGGGUCCAAGCUUGGAAGUGAGCAGCCGUGAGUCUUCACUAACCAGUGGCACAUAACCACUUCAGUAACCGCUCUCCAUUGCUCAUGACAAUGGGCAAUGCCUUCCUCUUUCUCUUGGAUUGGUGAAGAACUAAGAACACUCCUUGUGCACCUGAAACACCACUCAACCUCCAGAGAAGAUUAGACAUAGGUGCAUUGGGUCAGUCCUUGAUUCCACAUCAAGCUUGAACACCAAUGUCUCACUAAAGCAAUGCAAGAUCAAACAAGACAUCCAAGUUUCAAAUUAUUGCAAGCUCAGCUCUCUAAGUUCUAGUAUGAUCCUACAGAUUCAUUACAAGAUACUUAGGCAAUUUUUGACAGCUCCUUUACUCAGCAUUUAGACAUGAAUCUAAUGCUUCAAUGUAAGACAGCCAUUUGACAGUAUGCACUAACCUUAAUCAGUUUUAAUUCAUGAAUGCAACAAUACAAUUCAUCACACAUUCAUUUAUAACUUAGGCUAAGCAUUACUAUCAUCACACUUAACAUCAGACAAUGCAUUACUUUCAAUCUGUUUUCAGUUCAUGAGCUUCAAACUAUAUCAUUUCACAUUUAGCAAACUCAUUACUUAACAGGAGCAAGCAUUUUACUCUUUAAACACUAAACAAGCCUUUAAAGCAUCCUGGGACAGAUUCAACUAGUUAUAUUUAGCAAUCACAUUAUCCUCAGGUUUUUCAAUCUAUACACAUCACAAUACACAACUCAUCUUAUCAUCUGCUCAUCAUCAAGAAGGUUUUAAGAAUCGUUUACCACAAGGAACCAGAUUGGUUCCUUAACCUUUCAUGAAACCGGCCAUGCUUUGUUGGACUUGAGAGUGGAUCGUCACCCACCUCCUUCACCUUCAGUUCAUGGCCUCCAUCUUGUACCAUCAGCUUCAAAGACCCCUCCUUUCUUCAUCUCCACUAGGCGCCAAGCUCUUGACACCAUCUUCUUUGGAACCGGAUGUGUUCUUCUCUUGGACAAGGCGCCUUGGUACAAGGAUAGCUAGGCCUUGUCCAUACACCUCUGCUUCCAAGGAGAAUCACCAUCAGGACAGGAAGAGAACA
rnacentral:lncRNA from 1 species